UGCCCUAGUAGCUUGACCAUAAAGCGCCGGUUUUGUAAUCCGGAGAUCGAAGGUUGAAAUCCUUCCUAGUG
rnacentral:tRNA from 1 species